CAGUCAAAGUCUGAACGUGGUCAGAGAAGGGUGUGUACGUACCCUGUACUUGUGUUUCCAUCCGCUCUUAAAAAUCUGUUGCUAAUGUGAAGUACUCUUAUUUCUCUUUUUACCACAUUCCUUAUGUGUUUGUGUUAUUUACGUACUGAUAAUAAAACUGGAAAAACACUCGCGAGUGCCCCAUUGCAAUUUGUGAUUAAAACUUGAUCGGGUCAGAUUCACAGUGCAGUAUCCAUCUUCACCUUUACAUCCAGGUCAAGAAAGUGUUAAUCUAAUCAGUUCCUGUACAGACUGACAAAGCCUACACCGUAAAAAUUGGAGGACACUCAAUACGACCAUUUGAAAGGAAGCCGGAAGAGAUCACAGACAAAGCUGCCAACGAAACACCACACAGAAACAGAAGGGCACGGUGCACUCACCACCUGACCACCUGGCGAAGAAAAAAAUGCGUUUCGGUUUUUUCAUGACGAUGGUGGUGAUGUGGGUGAUGGCAGCGCUGGGCGAGGCGACACUCCGAACUCUAGGAAAUGCGUAUCUAAUCACACCUCAGCACAUCAAGACAGAUCCCAAUGCAGCUUACAGGAUCCAACGAGAGUAUGCAGACAAACACGGGAUUUAUGGCUCAAGACUGAUUGAGUCUCUCGGUAAUGGUCAGUAUUUGCAACGCCACCACCACCGCCGCCGCAUGGAUACUUCAAAGCCCAUUUUUCUUUACCCUCUGCUAUAAAAUUUUAUCAAACCAGGGAUAACUAAUCUAUAUCAUUAUUGACCUCUAUGCAAAUGCCUUGGCAAGACUAAGACCUAUUGUAAACCAGUGUUUAGCUUCACUGGCUUGCUUAAACCUGCAGUUUCAAGUACACAACAGAGAUGCCUGAAAUUAAUAUGAAGCCUUCUAUCGUUGAAUUUGCCUCUAAGUGUAGUCUACAGUUAAAAUUACAUUCAGUGUUAGUUCAACACCACAGCAAUGCAUCACAGUAACCUAGCCAGGAGUGCUUGGUGCAGUAUACCAUAUUAGACUUAUAAUACCAAUUUGUGUGUUUUGAAAUCAUCAUGGUGUGCAUCGUCCAGUAUACUAUGAACCAUGCACAUAUUACCUAUGGUCAAAAUAUAAUGAUUAUUUGUUGAUGUUGGCCUGAAGGUAAAUGAUGACAGUGCCAUCACUGGAGGAGCGAUGGUAAGACUACAUGCAAUGGAGAAGAGGUGUUUGAUCAGCAUGGAUUAAAUAGUGAUAUGUAUGGAUUGUGGGGAGUGGAAGUGUGUAAAGGAGAACUGCUAAUGGAAGAGAACUGGCUGAUCAAGCAGAAGUGAAAGGUUAUGAUGACGUAGGCAAGGGGGGGGACAUGAAAGAAGAGUAAUUGGUGAAGAUUAAUGGGUCUGAUAUGACAAGUAUAAAGAUAAUGAAAAUGACUAAUGUAUGAAAGGAUACGGUUAUGAGAGCAUUAGACAAGUGGAUGCAUAUGACAAAUGAGUGAAGACAUGGCUUUGAGGGUCUCACAGAAGGUUCUCUCACAUUUGGGUCAGGUGUGAGAAAGGAAAUGAGUCUUGUUAUGGAGCAAAGAACAACAACCUGUACUAUUAAACCCUCUUUUGAAGACUGUCAAA